GACGAAGGGGGGCUAGCGUUGUUCGGAAUUACUGGGCGUAAGGGCGCGUGUAGGCGGUUGUUUCAAGUCAGGUGUGAAAGCCUUGAGCUCAACUCAAGAAAUGCACUUGAUACUGGAUGACUAGAGGACCGGAGAGGAUAGUGGAAUUCCCAGUGUAGUGGUGAAAUACGUAGAGAUUGGGAAGAACACCAGUGGCGAAGGCGGCUAUCUGGACGGUUUCUGACGCUAAGACGCGAAAGCGUGGGGAGCAAACAGG
rnacentral:rRNA from 1 species